rnacentral:rRNA from 1 species
AUUGAACGCUGGCGGCAGGCCUAACACAUGCAAGUCGGACGGUAGCACAGGGGAGCUUGCUCCUCGGGUGACGAGUGGCGGACGGGUGAGUAACGUCUGGGGAUCUGCCCGAUAGAGGGGGAUAACCACUGGAAACGGUGGCUAAUACCGCAUAACGUCGCAAGACCAAAGAGGGGGACCUUCGGGCCUCUCACUAUCGGAUGAACCCAGAUGGGAUUAGCUAGUAGGCGGGGUAACGGCCCACCUAGGCGACGAUCCCUAGCUGGUCUGAGAGGAUGACCAGCCACACUGGAACUGAGACACGGUCCAGACUCCUACGGGAGGCAGCAGUGGGGAAUAUUGCACAAUGGGCGCAAGCCUGAUGCAGCCAUGCCGCGUGUAUGAAGAAGGCCUUCGGGUUGUAAAGUACUUUCAGCGGGGAGGAAGGCGAUGUGGUUAAUAACCGCAUUGAUUGACGUUACCCGCAGAAGAAGCACCGGCUAACUCCGUGCCAGCCGCCGCGGUAA